rnacentral:rRNA from 1 species
GACGAACGCUGGCGGCGUGCUUAACACAUGCAAGUCGAACGGAAAGGCCCUGCUUUUGUGGGGUUCUCGAGUGGCGAACGGGUGAGUAACACGUGAGUAACCUGCCCUUGACUUUGUGAUAACUUCAGGAAACUCGGGCUAAUACCGGAUAGGAUCUCCUGCUGCACGUGGGUGGUUGGAAAGUUUCGGCGUUUGGGGAUGGACUCGCGGCUUAUGAGCUUGUUUGUGGGGUAGUGGCGUACCAAGGCUUUGAAGGGUAGCCGGCCUGGGAGGGUGACCGGGCACAUUGGGCCUGCGAUACGGCCCAGUAUCCUACGGGCGGCAACAGUGGGGAAUCUUGCACAAUGGGGGGACGUCUGAUACAGCAACGCCGCGUGCGGAAUGACGGCCUUCGGGUUGUAAACCGAUUUCGCCUGUGACGAAGAGUGAGUGACGGUAAUGGGUAAAGAAGCACCGGCUAACUACGUG